rnacentral:rRNA from 1 species
GACAGAGGGUGCAAACGUUGUUCGGAAUCACUGGGCGUAAAGCGCGUGUAGGCGGCUUCUCAAGUCGGGUGUGAAAUCCCAGGGCUCAACCCUGGAAGUGCAUUCGAAACUGGGUAGCUAGAGUACUGGAGAGGAAGGUGGAAUGCCUGGUGUAGAGGUGAAAUUCGUAGAUAUCAAGCGGAACACCGGUGGCGAAGGCGGCCUUCUGGACAGUGACUGACGCUGAGACGCGAAAGCGUGGGGAGCAAACAGG